rnacentral:tRNA from 1 species
UCUCCGGUGGUCUAGUGGUUAAGAUUCGGAGCUCUCGUUGCCACAGCCUGGGUUCAUUUCCCGGUCGGGGAG